AGAGUUUGAUCCUGGCUCAGGAUGAACGCCGGCGGUGUGCCUAAUACAUGCAAGUCGUACGCACUGGCCCAACUGAUUGAUGGUGCUUGCACCUGAUUGACGAUGGAUCACCAGUGAGUGGCGGACGGGUGAGUAACACGUAGGUAACCUGCCCCGGAGCGGGGGAUAACAUUUGGAAACAGAUGCUAAUACCGCAUAACAAUAAAAGCCGCAUGGCUUUUAUUUGAAAGAUGGCUUUGGCUAUCACUCUGGUAUGGACCUGCGGUGCAUUAGCUAGUUGGUAAGGUAACGGCUUACCAAGGCGAUGAUGCAUAGCCGAGUUGAGAGACUGAUCGGCCACAAUGGAACUGAGACACGGUCCAUACUCCUACGGGAGGCAGCAGUAGGGAAUCUUCCACAAUGGGCGCAAGCCUGAUGGAGCAACACCGCGUGAGUGAAGAAGGGUUUCGGCUCGUAAAGCUCUGUUGUUGGAGAAGAACGUGCGUGAGAGUAACUGUUCAUGCAGUGACGGUAUCCAACCAGAAAGUCACGGCUAACUACGUGCCAGCAGCCGCGGUAAUACGUAGGUGGCAAGCGUUAUCCGGAUUUAUUGGGCGUAAAGCGAGCGCAGGCGGUUGCUUAGGUCUGAUGUGAAAGCCUUCGGCUUAACCGAAGAAGUGCAUCGGAAACCGGGCGACUUGAGUGCAGAAGAGGACAGUGGAACUCCAUGUGUAGCGGUGGAAUGCGUAGAUAUAUGGAAGAACACCAGUGGCGAAGGCGGCUGUCUGGUCUGCAACUGACGCUGAGGCUCGAAAGCAUGGGUAGCGAACAGGAUUAGAUACCCUGGUAGUCCAUGCCGUAAACGAUGAGUGCUAGGUGUUGGAGNNNNNCGCCCUUCAGUGCCGGAGCUAACGCAUUAAGCACUCCGCCUGGGGAGUACGACCGCAAGGUUGAAACUCAAAGGAAUUGACGGGGGCCCGCACAAGCGGUGGAGCAUGUGGUUUAAUUCGAAGCUACGCGAAGAACCUUACCAGGUCUUGACAUCUUGCGCUAACCUUAGAGAUAAGGCGUUCCCUUCGGGGACGCAAUGACAGGUGGUGCAUGGUCGUCGUCAGCUCGUGUCGUGAGAUGUUGGGUUAAGUCCCGCAACGAGCGCAACCCUUGUUACUAGUUGCCAGCAUUGAGUUGGGCACUCUAGUGAGACUGCCGGUGACAAACCGGAGGAAGGUGGGGACGACGUCAGAUCAUCAUGCCCCUUAUGACCUGGGCUACACACGUGCUACAAUGGACGGUACAACGAGUUGCAAACUCGCGAGAGCAAGCUAAUCUCUUAAAGCCGUUCUCAGUUCGGACUGUAGGCUGCAACUCGCCUACACGAAGUCGGAAUCGCUAGUAAUCGCGGAUCAGCAUGCCGCGGUGAAUACGUUCCCGGGCCUUGUACACACCGCCCGUCACACCACGGGAGUUUGUAACGCCCAAAGUCGGUGGCCUAACCUUUGUGGAGGGAGCUGCCUAAGGCGGGACAGAUGACUGGGGUGAAGUCGUAACAAGGUAACC
rnacentral:rRNA from 1 species